GGCAGUAGUGGUAGUGGUGGCUGUUGUGGCGUCUGGAGGGCCCCAACCGUCAGGGUUGAAAGGAACGGCGCCUACUUCGAAGCCGCCGACCAUUGCUGAGGAAGAUGAUGGAGCAGUGGUGACUGAAACCCUAGCUGAGAUUUGUGUUUGGGGCAGUGGCAAACAAAAACCCCAGCGGGUAAACAGUUCAUUAUUUUCUUUUAUUUUUUUUAAGGAAACAUUUCAUUAUUGUCUGAAA
rnacentral:misc_RNA from 1 species